GAUGAGCGCUAGCGACAGGCCUAACACAUGCAAGUCGAGGGGCAGCACAGGUAGCAAUACUUGGUGGCGACCGGCGCACGGGUGAGUAACGCGUAUGCAACCUACCUGUAACAGGGGAAUAGCUCCCUGAAAGGGGAAUUAAAACCGCAUAAGACCACACUAUCGCAUGGUAGAGUGGUAAAAUAUUUAUAGGUUACAGAUGGGCAUGCGUGACAUUAGCCAGUCGGUGAGGUAACGGCUCACCAAAGCUACGAUGUCUAGGGGUUCUGAGAGGAAGGUCCCCCACACUGGUACUGAGACACGGACCAGACUCCUACGGGAGGCAGCAGUGAGGAAUAUUGGUCAAUGGGCGCAAGCCUGAACCAGCCAUGUCGCGUGCAGGACGACGGCCCUACGGGUUGUAAACUGCUUUUGUACGGGAAGAAAUAUAUCUACGAGUAGAUAUUUGCCGGUACCGUACGAAUAAGGAUCGGCUAACUCCGUGCCAGCAGCCGCGGUAAUACGGAGGAUCCGAGCGUUAUCCGGAUUUAUUGGGUUUAAAGGGUGCGUAGGCGGAAUGGUAAGUCAGUGGUGAAAUACUGCAGCUUAACUGUAGCAUUGCCAUUGAUACUGUCAUUCUUGAGUACAGUUGGGGUAGGCGGAAUGUGGUGUGUAGCGGUGAAAUGCUUAGAUAUACCACAGAACACCGAUUGCGAAGGCAGCUUACUAAACUGACACUGACGCUGAAGCACGAAAGCGUGGGGAUCAAACAGGAUUAGAUACCCUGGUAGUCCACGCCGUAAACGAUGAUUACUGGUUGUUUGCGAUACACAGCCAAGUGACUGAGCGAAAGCAUUAAGUAAUCCACCUGGGGAGUACGUCGGCAACGAUG
rnacentral:rRNA from 1 species